GAAAUGCGAUAAGUAAUGUGAAUUGCAGAAUUCAGUGAAUCAUCGAAUCUUUGAACGCACAUUGCGCCCGCCAGUAUUCUGGCGGGCAUGCCUGUUCGAGCGUCAUUACAACCCUCAGGCCCCCGGGCCUGGCGUUGGGGAUCGGCGGAAGCCCCCUGCGGGCACAACGCCGUCCCCCAAGUACAGUGGCGGUCCCGCCGCAGCUUCCAUUGCGUAGUAGCUAACACCUCGCAACUGGAGAGCGGCGCGGCCACGCCGUAAAACACCCAACUUCUGAAUGUUGACCUCGAAUCAGGUAGGAAUACCCGCUGAACUUAAGC
rnacentral:misc_RNA from 1 species